rnacentral:SRP_RNA from 1 species
GCCGGGCGCGGUGGCGCGCACCUGUAGUCUCAGCUACUCGGGAGGCUGAGGCAGGAGGAUCGCUUGAGCCCAGGAGUUCUGGGCUGUAGUGCGCUAUGCCGAUCGGGUGUCCGCACUAAGUUCGGCAUCAAUAUGGUGACCUCCCGGGUGUCCGCACUAAGUUCGGCAUCAAUAUGGUGACCUCCCGGGAGCGGGGGACCACCAGGUUGCCUAAGGAGGGGUGAACCGGCCCAGGUAGGAAACCAACGUGGGACUCAGUCUCCAGACUGCGGGUUCACACCCUGAGCCAAAGGCAGAUGGUCAACCACUGAGCCACCCAGACAUCCCUAAUUUCA